rfam:Dictyocaulus viviparus strain HannoverDv2000 D_viviparus-1.0_Cont70.28, whole genome shotgun sequence.
GCACGGAUGGCCGAGUGGUCUAAGGCGCCAGACUCAAGAACUAUCUUCCCGCGAGAUAGCGGGUUUGGGAAUUCUGGUACUCGUAAGGGUGCGUGGGUUCAAAUCCCACUCCGUGCA